AGUUAUUUAGCUUACACUAAAGCAUGUACUUUGAAAGUAUAAGACAGAAUAUAAUUUAAUAACUU
rnacentral:tRNA from 1 species